UGGGGAAUUUUGGACAAUGGGGGAAACCCUGAUCCAGCCAUCCCGCGUGUGCGAUGAAGGCCUUCGGGUUGUAAAGCACUUUUGGCAGGAAAGAAACGUCAUGGGUUAAUACCCCGUGAAACUGACGGUACCUGCAGAAUAAGCACCGGCUAACUACGUGCCAGCAGCCGCGGUAAUACGUAGGGUGCAAGCGUUAAUCGGAAUUACUGGGCGUAAAGCGUGCGCAGGCGGUUCGGAAAGAAAGAUGUGAAAUCCCAGAGCUCAACUUUGGAACUGCAUUUUUAACUACCGGGCUAGAGUGUGUCAGAGGGGAGUGGAAUUCCGCGUGUAGCAGUGAAAUGCGUAGAUAUGCGGAGGAACACCGAUGGCGAAGGCAGCCUCCUGGGAUAACACUGACGCUCAUGCGCGAAAGCGUGGGGAGCAAACAGG
rnacentral:rRNA from 1 species